rnacentral:rRNA from 1 species
AACGAACGCUGGCGGCAGGCCUAACACAUGCAAGUCGAGCGCCCUUUCGGGGGAGCGGCGGACGGGUGAGUAACGCGUGGGAAUAUGCCCUUCUCUACGGAAUAGCCUCGGGAAACUGAGAGUAAUACCGUAUACGCCCUGUGGGGGAAAGAUUUAUCGGGGAAGGAUUAGCCCGCGUUGGAUUAGGUAGUUGGUGGGGUAAUGGCCUACCAAGCCGACGAUCCAUAGCUGGUUUGAGAGGAUGAUCAGCCACACUGGGACUGAGACACGGCCCAGACUCCUACGGGAGGCAGCAGUGGGGAAUCUUAGACAAUGGGGGCAACCCUGAUUUAGCCAUGCCGCGUGAGUGAUGAAGGCCUUAGGGUUGUAAAGCUCUUUCAGCUGGGAAGAUAAUGACGGUACCAGCAGAAGAAGCCCCGGCUAACUCCGUG